rnacentral:piRNA from 1 species
UGUGACAAGGAUGCAGAACCUC